GAGCUCGUAGGCGGUUUGUCGCGUCUGCUGUGAAAUCCCGAGGCUCAACCUCGGGCUUGCAGUGGGUACGGGCAGACUAGAGUGCGGUAGGGGAGAUUGGAAUUCCUGGUGUAGCGGUGGAAUGCGCAGAUAUCAGGAGGAACACCGAUGGCGAAGGCAGAUCUCUGGGCCGUAACUGACGCUGAGGAGCGAAAGCAUGGGGAGCGAACAGGAUUAGAUACCCUGGUAGUCCAUGCCGUAAACGUUGGGCGCUAGAUGUAGGGACCUUUCCACGGUUUCUGUGUCGUAGCUAACGCAUUAAGCGCCCCGCCUGGGGAGUACGGCCGCAAGGCUAAAACUCAAAGGAAUUGACGGGGGCCCGCACAAGCGGCGGAGCAUGCGGAUUAAUUCGAUGCAACGCGAAGAACCUUACCAAGGCUUGACAUACACCGGAAACGGCCAGAGAUGGUCGCCCCCUUGUGGUCGGUGUACAGGUGGUGCAUGGUUGUCGUCAGCUCGUGUCGUGAGAUGUUGGGUUAAGUCCCGCAACGAGCGCAACCCUCGUUCUAUGUUGCCAGCGGGUUAUGCCGGGGACUCAUAGGAGACUGCCGGGGUCAACUCGGAGGAAGGUGGGGAUGACGUCAAAUCAUCAUGCCCCUUAUGUCUUGGGCUUCACGCAUGCUACAAUGGCCGGUACAAAGGGCUGCGAUACCGUAAGGUGGAGCGAAUCCCAAAAAGCCGGUCUCAGUUCGGAUUGAGGUCUGCAACUCGACCUCAUGAAGUCGGAGUCGCUAGUAAUCGCAGAUCAGCAACGCUGCGGUGAAUACGUUCCCGGGCCUUGUACACACCGCCCGUCAAGUCAUGAAAGUCGGUAACACCCGAAGCCGGUGGCCUAACCCUUGUGGAAGGAGCCGUCGAAGGUGGGAUCGGUGAUUAGGACGAAGUCGUA
rnacentral:rRNA from 2 species